UACGUAGGGUGCGAGCGUUGUCCGGAUUCAUUGGGCGUAAAGAGCUCGUAGGCGGCUGUUCAAGUCGAACGUGAAAACUCGGAGCUCAACUCCGAGCCUGCGUUCGAUACUGGACGGCUAGAGUCUGGUAGGGGGAUCUGGAAUUCCUGGUGUAGCGGUGGAAUGCGCAGAUAUCAGGAGGAACACCGGUGGCGAAGGCGGUUCUCUGGGCAUUACCUGACGCUGAGGAGCGAAAGCAUGGGGAGCGAA
rnacentral:rRNA from 1 species